UACGUAGGUGGCAAGCGUUGUCCGGAUUUACUGGGCGUAAAGAGCGCGCAGGCGGCUGGUCAAGUCCGAUGUGAAAGCUCCGAGCUCAACUCGGAAAUGGCAUUGGAAACUACCUUGCUCGAGGGUUUGAGGGGGGACUGGAAUACUUGGUGUAGCAGUGAAAUGCGUAGAUAUCGAGAGGAACACCGGUGGCGAAGGCGGCCUUCUGGACAGCAACUGACGCUGAGACGCGAAAGCGUGGGGAGCAAACAGG
rnacentral:rRNA from 1 species